ensembl:lncRNA
CUCCUCCAUCCUCCCCCCUCUCCCAGGGGCUCCUCCCAGGCCUGCCCCUUCUCUGCCCUGCAGGCUCCUCCCUAGGAAGGUGUCCUUGUUCACCUGGAACUGCAACUCCUGCAGCAACCUGCGUGGCCACUUUUGAGAAUUCCCUGCAUGAUUUGAAAGCUAUUUGCAAAUAGAAGUAACACCACUUCACUGAGGCCUUCUUGUCCACGAAAGAGCUGACCCACUCUACCUGGAUGGCACACCCUUGGAGCCACAGGGGAUGCUGGCAACUUUGUCAUCUCUCUGCUGACACUUGCCCUUCAUGAGUUCAAUUACUCAGGAGUGAGUCCUGCUUACCUGGCCUCCAAGCCUCUAGUGCCUGGAUGAUAUAGCUCCCUAAGUCAGAGGCUCCCAAACUUCUUAAUAUCUCAGCGAGCCCCAAAGAAAUGCCCUGAAGUUUUGUGUAUUAAGCUUGCAUCAAACAACUUGAAGAG